UAAAAUAAUUAAGGGCACACAGGGAAUGCCUAGGUAGUAAGAGCCGAUGAAGGACGUGGUAAGCUGCGAUAAGCUUGGGUUAGCUGCAAACGAGCGCCAACCCCAAGAUUUCCGAAUGGAGCAAUCUGCUAAGAUGGAGUCUUAGCACGAAAGAGGGUACCGAGUGAACUGAAACAUCUAAGUAACUCGAGGAAAAGAAAGUAAAAACGAUUCCCCAAGUAGCGGCGAGCGAACGGGGAUGAGCCUAAACCAUAUAAGUGUCAAGGAUACAGCCGUUGCUUAUAUGGGGUUGUGGGAAGAACGUUUGAAGAACUGUAAGAUAUUCAACAUAUCUAAUGACUGAACUGGAACUAGUUGGAAAGCUAGAUCGUAGAAGGUGAUAAUCCUGUACAGGUAAACUCAUUAGAAUGUAUGUUCUCUCCCAAGUAACAUGGAACACGAGGAAUUCUGUGUGAAUCUGCGAGGACCAUAUCUCGUAAGGCUAAAUACUCUUACUAACCGAUAGCGUAUAGUACCGUGAGGGAAAGGUGAAAAGAACCCCGGGAGGGGAGUGAAAUAGAACCUGAAACUGUGUGCUUACAAGCGGUCAGAGCUCUUCGGAGUGAUGGCGUGCCUUUUGGAGAAUGAUCCUGCGAGUUACGUUCAGUGGCGAGGUUAAGUAUAACGGAGCCGAAGGGAAACCGAGUCUGAACAGGGCGACAUAGUCGCUGGGCGUAGACGCGAAACCUGGUGAUCUAAGCCUGUCCAGGGUGAAGCUGUGGUAAGACACAGUGGAGGCCCGAACUCACCGCCGUUGAAAAGUUGGGAGAUGAGGUAGGUUUAGGGGUGAAAAGCCAAUCGAACUAGGAGAUAGCUCGUUCUCUCCGAAAUGCAUUUAGGUGCAGCCUUGAGUGUUUAAUUAUGGGGGUAGAGCACUGAAUGAACUAGGGGGCAUAUUGCUUACUGAAUUCAAUCAAACUCCGAAUACCAUAAUUCAAAGCUCAGGAGUGAGACUAUGGGAAUUAACUUCCAUUGUCAAAAGGGAAACAACCCAGACCACCAGCUAAGGUCCCUAAUUAUAACUAAGUGGGAAAGGAGGUGGAGAUUCACAAACAACCAGGAGGUUGGCUUAGAAGCAGCCAUACCUUUAAAGAGUGCGUAAUAGCUCACUGGUCGAGAGUCUCUGCGCCGACAAUGUAACGGGGCUAAGUUAUAAACCGAAGCUGUGGAAUUGCGUAAGCAAUUGGUAGGAGAGCGUUCUGUAGGCCGUUGAAGGAGAAGCGUAAGCGACUCUGGAGGUAUCAGAAGUGAGAAUGCAGGAAUAAGUAGCGAGAAAGGGGGCGAGAAUCCCCCUCGCCGGAAGACCAAGGUUUUCAGGGUAAAGCUUGUCUUCCCUGAGUAAGCCGGGACCUAAGCCGAGGCUAAAAUGCGUAGGCGAAUGGAAAACAGAUUAAUAUUUCUGUGCCAGUUAUAUUUUGUGAUGGAGGGACGCAGAAGGGUAUGUGCGCGGGAGAACGGAAGUUCCCGUAAAAGCAUGUAGAGUGGUCUAGUAGGAAAAUCCGCUAGAUUAGACUUGAGGUGUGAUAUAUAGUCGUAAGAUGAAUGCACAAAUCCCACGCUGCCGAGAAAAGCUUCUAACGUUAAGGUAUAACUGCCCGUACCCGAAACCGACACAGGUGGUCAGGAUGAGAAAUCUAAGGCGGACAGGCUAACUCUCGUUAAGGAACUCUGCAAAAUUGCCCCGUAACUUUGGGAGAAGGGGUGCCCCUGGAUGUUAACAGCUACGCGCUGUAAAGCAUUUGGGGGUCGCAGUGAAGAGGCUCAAGCAACUGUUUAACAAAAACACAGGUCUAUGCUAAGCUGUAAGGCGAUGUAUAUGGGCUGACACCUGCCCAGUGCCGGAAGGUUAAGAGGAGGAGUGAGAGCUCCGAAUUGAAGCCCCGGUGAACGGCGGCCGUAACUAUAACGGUCCUAAGGUAGCGAAAUUCCUUGUCGGGU
rnacentral:rRNA from 1 species